rnacentral:lncRNA from 10 species
GGCAGAGGUUGCAGUGUGCCAAGAUCACACCACUGUACUCCAGUCUGGGCGACAGAGCAAGACUUGUCUCAAAAAAAAGCAAAAAGCAAAACAAAACAAAAAACAAGAAAGAAUACAAGAAAGUUACUCAGUAACUUAAUCUGAAAGUGUUCUAUCUAAAAGCGUAGAGAGAAUAAUAUAUCGCUUUGCUAAGUGAAGUUCUUUCUGCCUAUAGCCUGCAAUAUAAAAUCCCAUAGUUUAGAGCCCUAUAGGGUAGAAAAAGUACCAAACUGGUCGGGCGAGGUGGCUUACACCUGUAAUCUCAGCACUUUGGGAGGCUGAGGUGGGCGGAUCACUUGAGAUCAGGAAUUUGAGACCAGCCUCGCCAAUAUGGCAAAACCCCAUCUCUACUAAAAAUACAAAAGUUAGCCGGGUGUGGUGGUGGGAGUCUGUAAUUCCAGCUACUCUGAGGCAGGAGAAUCGCUUGAACCCAGGAGGCAGAGGCUGCAGUGAGCCAAGAUUGUACCACUGCACUCCAGCCUGGGCAACAGAGCAAGACUCCAUCUCAAAAAAAAUAAAUAAAAAGCACCAAACUAAACUUAAUGCAGAGGCAAGGAGGCAAAAGAUUUAGCAAGAAAUAAGACCAGAGUUCCAGGCUUCUGUCAUGCACCUCCAGCUAAGCAUUUUCCCAGAAAAGAGGGCAAAGCUCAGAUUAUGGGUAUACAUCUGCUCUUAUGGCUUUUAUUUUGAGCUACUUGGACAAGUACCAUUAAAUGGAGGUCAGGGGAUGGCACAGCACUGAGGUUGAUUCCUAGGAGUUUGAAAUUCUCAGGUUUAAACAUUUUAUCUAGAAAAACAUUUUUUGGGUGUGACAACUCAGACCAAAAGCUACUGAGCUUUUAUGGGAACGUAUUGCCAAAGAAACCCCAGGCCCAGCAAUCUAUUGUAUUUUCUAGGUUUCCAAUUUGUACCACAGCUAAAGUUGAGUAGGGCAUGCCCAGAAAGGGCAUUUCCAUGUGCCCAUCUCUGGCAUAGCCAUGGAGAAUAAGAGACAAGUAAGAUCCUCUAGCAGGAAGAAGCAGGAGCCAUGCUAGACCAUAAAGAAGAUCCCCAUAGAGAGCGAGCCUCGAGUUUCCCAGUUACCUCGCCAAGGAACUCAUUCUACUGCCAGGCAAGGAGUCUUCCAUAUUCCUGCCUAGCAGGACAUAAAUUAUGCUACAGAUCAACAAUAACUGUGUGCUAUUUUUCAUCCAUUCUCCUCUUUGCAGAAUUAGAGUUUUCAUUGUAAUUACUCUGUUCCUAUUUUUUUUAAAGAUAUAUUGGCUAAGAUAGUUUAAGUUUUACCCAGUAUAAGCGAAUCUGGCCACUUCUCUCUCCCUCUACCAUGACCACAGUUUAAGUUCCCACCAUUUCCCCACUAGACUUACGUAACAGCCCUCUAACUUCCCUACUUCCACGCUACACUCCGCCCUACAGUCUAUUCUUCCCUGUACCCCAGUUCACAUCACUCCCCUGUACAAAACUUU